GACGAACGCUGGCGGCGUGCUUAACACAUGCAAGUCGAACGGAAAGGCCCUGCUUUUGUGGGGUGCUCGAGUGGCGAACGGGUGAGUAACACGUGAGUAACCUGCCCUUGACUUUGGGAUAACUUCAGGAAACUGGGGCUAAUACCGGAUAGGAGCUCCUGCUGCAUGGUGGGGGUUGGAAAGUUUCGGCGGUUGGGGAUGGACUCGCGGCUUAUCAGCUUGUUGGUGGGGUAGUGGCUUACCAAGGCUUUGACGGGUAGCCGGCCUGAGAGGGUGACCGGCCACAUUGGGACUGAGGUACGGCCCAGACUCCUACGGGAGGCAGCAGUGGGAGAUAUUGCACAAUGGGCGGAAGCCUGAUGCAGCAACGCCGCGUGCGGGAUGACGGCCUUCGGGUUGUAAACCGCUUUCGCCUGUGACGAAGCGUGAGUGACGGUAAUGGGUAAAGAAGCACCGGCUAACUACGUG
rnacentral:rRNA from 1 species